CCGGCGGCGGAACGGCUCUGUCCUCGGUGCCGGCGAGGGAACCCGCGGCCCGCUGAGCCGGCUACGGCCGCGAGAGGCGGGCUCCAGCCACGGUUCGCGAGUUCGCGCUGAGCCCCCGCGCCCAGGUGGGAUGGAAGAAGCCGGUCAGAAUCUACGUUACUCAGCAGAGACUCCAGGCAAGACAGGAUUUAUAUGCAGCUGCAAAAUCUAUACUGGGUACCCCAGUGGGUAUGUUCAGGGGACUUAUUCCCCAAGGACGCCUCCUGCUCAGCGGUAUUAACUGGAGUCGUAAUCCUAAAUUUGACUUUUAAGAAUGUGAUGAUAACGUCUGCCAAUCGUGCUGCCAAAAGAUGUAGCCUGCAGAAUGCCAAUUCUGAGUCAAGUAAGGGAGCUGAUGUAUCCCUAGUGAUGGCGGUGCCCAUUUGUACCAAAUUCACUUUUCCUCUUAUCUGCGUUCUGGGGCAGAUUUCAUCUUAUCAUGGACCAGGUAUUAUUCAUCUUGGUAGCCUUGUGCCCAGCAAAGAACCUGAUAAUUCAAGGAAAGUCUGGUGAAGGAAUCGAACGCUCCAUGGAACCAGUCAAACCAAGAAUGUAACAGAUUCCCGGACUUUAAAUGCAGUGAAGAUUGAUAAGGAUUCUUGGUAAAUGUGUGUGAUAUUUCCUAAUUAAUUUUUAAGAAUUCAGUUUAAUUACACACUCAGUGAAAAAUUCAGACAGUUCAGAAAUGAGUAAAUGAAAAAGUGCAAGUCCUCUUCCUCAUUCUGUCUGCGCCCCACAGUCCCACUCUCCAGUUAACCACUGUGUGCAUCAUCCUUUUACAGGCAAAUGUGUGUAAAUAUUCUAAAUGGAAUCACUGUUACAGUUUGUUUUUUCCACUCAUCAUAAGCAUCAAAUCUCAGAACACUUAGCUCAGGCUCAUUCUUUAUAAUGACUAUGUAGUCCUGAUGUUUUUACUUUUAAAGAGAGUGAAUUUUGGAAGUUCAUUAGGGAACAUACACUAUACUUCUCGGAGACCCAGUUUUGGAUGCUUUUGGGUCACCUUGAAAGAUAAAGAGAAAUAAUGUUUUCCACUGAUGUAAACAAGACAGACGAGACUGAGAAUGAAAAGUAUUCCUACAUGUUAUUUCAAGCUCCACCUUUUUAAAACUCAGAUCAGUUCCAAGGAGAAGGUCUUUGAAUGAGGUAAAUCUGUCCUCUGUAUAACUGAAACCAACAAUCUGAAUGGAGCAAGGGAGCCUGAGAGUUAGCAGGGCACAGAGUCUCAGGAAGUGUGCAGGGAGGGGCGGGGGACAGGGGGACAAAAACACUUAGAAAUCCCUAGCAAAAGGUCAGAAGGCAUCAAUCCCAAUUUUGAACACAUCUAAAAUUGAAUACAUGUUCACAUGAUUCAGGUCAGCCAACCUGUGGAAAACAAGUACACAGUUUAUUCACCUGCAACUAGAAAGAUAAGGAAAAGGAAACACUAUGAGGACUCAGGUAGCACCACCUUGGUGGAAUCCCCAAGAAGUUCAGCAUAGAAUGUGGAUAUCUAAGAUAAGCAAGAAGUGAAGCAGAUAGGAACUUGCACAGGUGAUAGCUUAUCCACCGAUCCUUGAUUUGGCUGUUUUCAUACUAUGUCCUUCUGACAUUAGAAGGAUUAAAAGCUGCCAGCAUGUGUCCUCUAAAAUCAAUUUAUGAUAUAUGUAUAUUGACCAAUAGGAUAAAGAGCUAGACCACUGACAUCUGAGAUCCCUUGCAAUUCUAAUAUUCUGUGAUCCUCGGCACACAGGGCAUUAUGCUUUCAUUUAGAUGAGUAACCAGUGCUGAUUCACUUCUCUACUCCAUUUCUGCCCAUCUUCCUACUUGUGAAAUGAAGUUUAAUUAUAUUGUGGCACCUCACUGAUUUGAACUUCUGCCAUUAUUCAGAAUUUGUACUUGGGAUUCUUGAAUAAAAACUUGAAUAAUUUUUCAAAACUAGGUUUCAGAAAAUAAAGUAUAACUUCUUAAUAUCUUCA